rnacentral:rRNA from 1 species
UGAGGAAUAUUGCGCAAUGGGGGCAACCCUGACGCAGCGACGCCGCGUGAGUGAGGAAGGCCUUCGGGUCGUAAAGCUCUGUCAAAGGGAAAGAAGUGCAUGGUGGCUAAUACCUGCCAUGUUUGACGGUACCCUUAAAGGAAGCACCGGCUAACUCCGUGCCAUCAGCCGCGGUAAUACGGAGGGUGCAAGCGUUGUUCGUACUCACUGGGCGUACAGGGCGCGUAGGCGGUUUGAUCAGUCAGAUGUGAAAGCCCACGGCUUAACUGUGGAAGUGCAUUUGAAACUGUCAGACUUGAGUAUCAGAGGGGAAAGUGGAAUUCCCGGUGUAGAGGUGAAAUUCGUAGAUAUCGGGAGGAAUACCGGUGGCGAAGGCGACUUUCUGGCUGAAUACUGACGCUAAGGCGCGAAAGCGUGGGGAGCAAACA